rnacentral:misc_RNA from 1 species
GUGAAUCAUCGAAUUUUUGAACGCAAAUUGCACUCUCCGGUUUUCCGGGAAAGUAUGCCUGUUUGAGGGUCUGUUUAAAAAAUAAUCGAGGCUGCUGCUGUGGUGGCUCUUCGGAAUUGGGUCAUCUUUCACCUUUCGGUUGUAAGCGACCUAAAAUUUUUUUUACGAUUUCAACGAACUUUUUUAAGAAUUUCUGGAACUUUAUG